rnacentral:tRNA from 1 species
GCCUUCGUGGUGUAGUGGUUAGCAUGCUCGACGCAUAACCGAGAGGACCCUGGUACGAUUCCCGGCGAGGACA